rnacentral:rRNA from 1 species
GACAGAGGGUGCAAACGUUGUUCGGAAUUACUGGGCGUAAAGCGCGUGUAGGCGGCUUGGCAAGUCGGGUGUGAAAGCCCCGGGCUCAACCUGGGAAGUGCACUCGAAACUGCCUCGCUUGAGUACUGGAGAGGGAAGUGGAAUUCUCGGUGUAGAGGUGAAAUUCGUAGAUAUCGAGAGGAACAUCGGUGGCGAAGGCGGCUUCCUGGACAGUUACUGACGCUGAGACGCGAAAGCGUGGGGAGCAAAC